ACAUGGCGCGCGAACGCCAACAUCAGCUGAACACGCAGCCGCGACUGCAUGCAGCUGAAGCAUCAAACCGCGCCAGAUCGAGAGAAGCGGGUGGGGAUCACUUUUGUCCAUAUCCUCCCCGCUUGCUCUGGAAGGAGCUCCAGUUGCUUGGGUGUUUACUGUCGUUCAGAGCUCGAUUUAGUCAUCUCCUCCAUCCAUCAUGAAGGUCCUCGUUGCUUUCCUGGUCGUAUGCCUUGCAGUGGCAGUGCGGUCCCAGAGCUGCAAACAGACUACCGCCAGCGUUUGCACUGGUGACACGUACAGUUGCGCUGAGGGCUCAGUCAGUUGCAGCUCCUACUGCUUAUCCGGAUCUACGUAUGCCAAGGUUAUAGGAAUUGGUGUCAGGACGUGGUACAAGAAGUGCUACACCGCCAGUGACGUUUCCCGCAUCAACUGCGGAACCCAGAACUUCACCUGCAAGACGGAUACCGCGUUCGGUUUGACCUCCUCCUACUGCUGGAGAUGCUGCUUCGGUAAUGACUGCAACACCGGCACUCCUCCCGCCGCCGCUGCCUCUACUCUGCAGAUCAUCAGCCCAAUCACCAUGAUCAUGCUCAUUGCCGCCAUUUUCUACUUGACCAAGUAGACUAUUCCCUUCUAAAGGACAUAGUAAUACUGUUUGGUGUGCCGCAUUGAUGUGUGUCUUUUCACAUCUUGCCUCUUUUUGACGGUUUUCCCCUGCCAUCCCAUGCCUUUUCUCCGUGGCAUUAGCUGUCUGAGUUUGGCAAUAUAGACUGUCUUGUACAUUUGUACAAAGCCACUCGGUCAUGAGCUGUUUUUUUUUCUCUCACUCUUCCUGGUCUUCCCAGGUCUUGUCAAUCCUGUUUGAGUCUCUACGUUAUAUGUUCUGACUAUAAUGAAUGGUACAGUUUUGAGAGAGAAGCUUUCCGGUAUUGAAA